AUGAGCUGGAUCUGCUCAGGAGAGAGUCUUACACGAACCACAUUUCAAAUGAUCCCAAAACAAAGGACCCAUCAAAGAAUAGUUCAAUCUGUAAGAGAAAGAAACACUACAGAGCCUAGGAACGAGGCAGAACGACAGAUUUUUACCUUGUCAGCUCGGGGGAUACAUUCUUGCAACCUUACAGUUAACUAGUCCAACGCUCUAACCACCUGCCUCACGAGGAGCCUGCCUGUUACGCAAAUGCAGUAAGCCAAGCACGACUGAGAGAAUCCUGUCGGACUGUAUUACCGCCUGGUACGGCAACUGCACCUCCUGCAACCGCAGGGCUCUCCAGGGGGUAGUGCGGUCUGCCCAACGCAUCCCCGGGGGCACACUGCCAGCCCUCCAGGCCAUCUACAGCACCCGAUGUCACAGGAAGGCCAAAAAAAUCAUCAAGGACAUCAACUACCCGAGCCACGGCCUGUUCACCCUGCUACUAGAAGUCGAGGGAGCACAAGUAGGAGCCUUUAUGUAGCCAGGGAGAGGAGAAGAGGUCACAAUCCACCCCUCUCUCUGUGUCACCAGACCAGGACACCAGUAGUCUGCCUAUCAACUGUUUCUAGGGGAUCUGGUUUCCAGCAAAGUGAUGUAUCCAGAUCCUUGAAAAAUCUUCCCGAUGUGAUGAUUCAACGAUGGCUUUAUCGCGUGGGCUUUUCUUCUUGGAUUUCAUGUUUUUUUUGUGUGUUUUGUUUUUUCAAUGAAUGGGGUCCAAGUAGAGAUGACCAGUAGGUAGAGUAGAUGCUCGGUCAUAUUUGUUCUUUGGGAAAUGCUUCAUGGCUAAUUUAGCUGAUGAUUGACCUUGUGACCUUAGAAUCUCAUAAUUCUAUCUAACAAAAUGAUGAUUCUGAGAUAAUUUGUAUACUAUAUGAGGCUGGGUACUAGUCUGUUUGUGCCAUCAUACCACUCUUUGUCAUGCAAAACAUAUUUGUAAAGACAAUGAGUUGACAUGACAGACUCCUUACCUAUCUCCUUUUGCCAAAUAUGCAAAGGAAUAUUCUUUGCGGAAUCAUUUUUGGCGAUAGCCUUAAGAUAAUGACUUGGUUUGACAGUUUAAAAUAAUUUAGGGACAUUCUCUAAAGCAAUGAAAUGCCACUAAAUCAUUAUUAAUGUGGGUUUGUUCAAUUCAUAUUGAUGAAUAAAUCCUUAAAAUGUUACUUAAUUAUUUAUAUUUCUGUAGUGACAGAAUCGGAGAGUAGUGACAGAAUCGGAGAGGAGUGAAUGAGGAUGGCCGGAUUCUUUCAAACACUAUGCUCUUUUCGCUUUUUAUUUACUUUAUGACUUUUCCUCCCUUCUUUACCUUGAACUCUGUGACGUUUUCAAACGAGGUCAAGGAAAAAGUCCACAUCUCAGAAAAAAUCUGAAUGCACCCCAGGUCUGGAGCUAAAGCCUGGACCAUGUAAACUCCCGACUUCAACUGUAGAACUGGUUUCAUAACAUCCCCUGGGAAUACAUUGCCACCAAGUGGUAAUUCUUUUAGCUUACUUAAGAGGUUGACAUCUUGUUGAAGUCUUACAAAAAAUUGGUGCGCUUCUUCAGAGAGGGAGAGUCCUUCCCACAGGGCCGUCGGGUGAGACAGGGAUGCAGUUUAAGCCCCACCCUCUUCAACAUAUACAGUUGAAGUCAGAAGUUUACAUACACCUUAGGCAAAUACAUUUAAACUCUGUUUUUCACAACUCCUGACAUUUAAUCCUAGUAAAAAUUCCCUGUCUUAGUUCAGUUAGGAUCUCCACUUUAUUUCAAGAAUGUGAAAUGUCAGAAUAUUAGUAGAGAGAAUGAUUUAUUUUAGCAUUUAUUUCUUUCAUCACAUUCCCAGUGGGUCAGAAGUUUACAUACAAUCAAUUAGUAUUUGGUAGCAUUGUCUUUAAAUUCUUUAACUUGGGUCAAAUGUUUCAGGUAGCCUUCCACAAGCUUCCCACAAUAAGUUGUGUGAAUUUUGGCCCAUUCCUCCUGAUAGAGCUGGUGUAACUGAGUCCUCCUUCCUCGCACAUGCAUUUUUAAGGCCCACAAAAUUUCUCUAGGAUUGAGGUCAGGGCUUUGUGAUGGCCACUCCAAUACCUUGACUUUGUUUUAAUUAAGCCCUUUUGCCACAACUUUGGAAGUAUGCUUGGGGUCAUUGUCCAUUUGGAAGACCCAUUUGCGACCAAGCUUUAACUUCCUGACUGAUAUCUGUGCGAUGUUGCUUCAAUAUUUCCACGUAAUUUUCCUACCGCAUGAUGCAAUCUAUUUUGUGAAGUGCACCAGUCCAUUCUGCAGCAAAGCACCCCCACAACAUGAUGCUGCCACCCCCGUGCUUCACAGUUGGGAUGGUGUUCUUUAGCUUGCAAGCCUUUCCCUUUUUCCUCCAAACAUAACGAUGGUCAUUAUGACCAAACAGUUCUAUUUUUGUUUCAUCAGACCAGAGGACAUUUCUCCAAAAAGUAUGAUCUUUGUCCCCAUGUGCAGUUGCAAACUGUAGUCUGGCUUUUUUAAUGGCGGUUUUGGAGCAGUGGCUUUUUACUUGCUGAGCGGCCUUUCAGGUUAUGUCGAUAUAGGACUCGUUUUACAAUGGAUAUAGAUACUUUUGUACCUGUUUUCUCCAGCAUUAUCACAAGAUCCUUUGCUGUUGUUCUGGGAUUGAUUUGCACUUUUCGCACCAAAGUACGUUCCUCUAUAGGAGACAGAAUGUGUCUCCUUCCUGAGAGGUAUGACGGCUGCAUGGUCCCAUGGUGUUUAUACUUGCAUACUAUUGUUUGUACAGAUGAACGUGGUACCUUCAGGCGUUUGGAAAUUGCUCACAAGGAUGAACCACACUUGAGGUCUACAUUUUUUUUUCUGAGGUCUUGGCUGAUUUCUUUUGAUUUUUCCAUGUUGUCAAGCAAAGAGGCACUGAGUUUGAAGGUAGGCCUUGAAAUACAUCCAAAGGUACACUUCCAAUUGACUCAAAUGAUGUCAAUUUAUGUCAACUUCUGACCCACAGGAAUAGUGAUACACUGAAUUAUAAGUAAAAUAAUCUGUCUGUAAACAAGUGUUGUAAAAAUGACUUGUGUCAUGCACAAAGUAGAUGUCCUAACCGACUUUCCAAAACUAUAAUUGUUUAUCAAGAAAUUUGUGGAGUGGUUGAAAAACGAGUUUUAAUGACUCCAACCUAAGUGUAUGUAAACUUCUGACAUCAACUGUAAAUGUGGAAUGUAAUUCAUUAUGGCUUAUUUUUGCUUUGAUAAUGUUUAUUCUGUACACAAUUCAAAUAAUGUGCUGCCAAAUUAAAU
ensembl:lncRNA